UGCCAGCAGCCGCGGUAAUACGUAGGGGGCGAGCGUUGUCCGGAUUUACUGGGCUUAAAGAGUUCGUAGGUGGUUGAAAAAGUUGGUGGUGAAAUCCCAGAGCUUAACUCUGGAACUGCCAUCAAAACUUUUCAGCUAGAGUAUGAUAGAGGAAAGCAGAAUUUCUAGUGUAGAGGUGAAAUUCGUAGAUAUUAGAAAGAAUACCAAUUGCGAAGGCAGCUUUCUGGAUCAUUACUGACGCUGAGGAACGAAAGCAUGGGUAGCGAAGAGGAUUAGAUA
rnacentral:rRNA from 1 species